UAGUAACCAUAGGUCAGCAUACUAUGGUGAAUACGUUCCCGGGCCUUGUACACACCGCCCGUCACACCAUGAGAGUUGAGAAUACCCGAAGUCCAUGUCAAAGUGGCCGAAGGUAGGCUUGAUGAUUGGGGUGAAGUCGUAACAAGGUACC
rnacentral:rRNA from 1 species